ACGCCUAGAUGGUAUAGGAAACCUGAAGCUCUGCAUAAAUCUCCAAAGUACAUUUCAGCUGCGGCUCAGGUUUAAGGUUGUCAUUGCCUGUACU
rnacentral:ncRNA from 1 species